rnacentral:rRNA from 1 species
UACGGAAGGGGCUAGCGUUGUUCGGAAUUACUGGGCGUAAAGAGCUCGCAGGCGGCUUACCAAGUUGGGGGUGAAAUCCCGGGGCUCAACUCCGGAACUGCCUUCAAAACUGGCAGGCUCGAGUUCGGUAGAGGGGCGUGGAAUUCCCAGUGUAGAGGUGAAAUUCGUAGAUAUUAGGAAGAACACCAGUGGCGAAGGCGGCGCCCUGGCCCGAUACUGACGCUGAGGUGCGAAAGCGUGGGGAGCAAACAGG